rnacentral:RNase_P_RNA from 1 species
UCAGAGGAUCGGAUGGCCGCUGCCGGGCUCGCGCCCGGGGGAGGAAAGUCCGGGCUCCACGGAGACGCGGCGCCGGGUAACACCCGGCGGGGGCGACCCCCGGGACAGUGCCACAGAAAGCAAACCGCCGGUCUAUACGGCCGGCAAGGGUGAAAGGGUGCGGCAAGAGCGCACCGCGCGCCCGGCAACGGGAGCGGCACGGUAAACCCCGCCGGGAGCAAGAUCAAAAAGGAACGGCAGUCCCUCUCGCGGGGACAGACGGAGUUUCCGGGUCGCCGUUCGGGUAGUAUCGCACGAGGCGUCCGGCGACGGGCGUCCCAGAUGAAUGGCCAUCCCCGCUGCAGGCACCCCGGUGUGUGCGGUGUGGACAGAACCCGGCUUACAGAUCCUCUGACGCG